GUUGAACCGGAUCAACUUGAGACGAACUUGAUUCAACGGGAUCUUUUUCAUAACCUCCCAUCUCAACGUGGGGUUGUGACGAAGACGAACCAUCAACAUGGCGAGAUGGAGAGGGCGAAUCGUUGUCCCAACGAUCGGUGUCGAACGGUGACCUUCUCGGUGAGGUGUGGAAGCUAUCGACUUCACUCUUGUAGUGUCGGAGAAGGUGGACAGGUGACAUGCUGUGAGUCGGGGUGGCGGGUCGGCUCGACAUUGGAGUGACCGAACCGCGGUUGUGUUUGAUGUGCUUUCGAGCCGAGUGGUACCAAUUGCGAAGGGCCUCUGCCACUCUCUCAUUGAAUAUAGUUGGCUUCAUUGUUGA
rnacentral:lncRNA from 1 species